UACGGAGGGUGCGAGCGUUGUCCGGAUUUAUUGGGUUUAAAGGGUGCGUAGGCGGCCGCGUAAGUCCGGGGUGAAAGCCCGUUGCUCAACAACGGAACUGCCCUGGAAACUGCGCGGCUUGAGUCCAGACGAGGUUGGCGGAAUGGGCGGUGUAGCGGUGAAAUGCAUAGAUACCGUCCAGAACACCGAUUGCGAAGGCAGCUGACUAGGCUGGUACUGACGCUGAGGCACGAAAGCGUGGGGAGCGAACAGG
rnacentral:rRNA from 1 species